GGAUAGCAGGAGGGGUCCCCCAGAGUGGAUGCUAUUGAGGAUCACUGCUUUGGUCACUGCCACCCUCUACUGGAUGGAGAGAUGUGUGACUAAAGAAAUUCGACAAAGGAUGAUGCAGAGCCAAGACUCAUGAAGAUGUUACAGACAGAAGCAAGCCACUCUAAAUGAGUCAGGGUACCAAGGCAAGAAGAGGAAGAAAAACUGCAGUGUUGGGAGAGAAGCGAUUCAUUUCCACUGGCUGCUCUGUGACAGCUGCUAAUACAAGAAGAC